AUUAUGACAUUGGAUUUCAUAAGGAUCAAUUACUAUCUUUAUGUCAUUGGAUAGAUAAUUAUAGUAAUAGCAGUGAUCGUGAAAGAUGUUCUUUUUUUCGUGGUGAAUAUCUAAAGGUGAAACAAAUUUACUAGAUAAAGAAAGGGAAUACUAAGAUUUACAAAAGUUCUUACAAAUUAAGGAAAGAGAGCUUGAAGAAUGCAGAGAAGAAUUUGUGAUUUCAGGUGUGAAAAAAUUGAAAGCACAGCUUGAUAAGUUAUCAAAAGUAGAAAUACAGGCUGAUGAGUUAUCAAAAAUAGAGCUUAAUAAGUUAUCAGUAGCUAUGCGAGAAUUUAAAGAAAAAAUUAAAAUUGUAAAGCAAGAAAAGAAGCUUGACGUUGCAGAAGAAUGACAAGAAGAAUUCAUCGAGCAACUUGAAGAUUAAAAUAAGGAACAAAACGAGCAACUUGAAGAACCUAAGUUUGAAGAGUCUAAAAUUUGAAAAAUCCAAAGUUUUGAUUGUUGAACCUUCACCUAUUGAAGAGCUUAUUCCAGAGCAUGGAUUUGAUCAAGCCUUGGAAACUCCUAGUGAAAUUGAAUAAAAUCAACUUAUGGAAAGAAAUUUGGAAUCUUGCUCGUGAGGAUUUUUCAACUAUUGUUUUUAUUGAUUUUAUCUGUUCAAAUGUCUACAGGCAUACAAAAGAAAGCGUAAACUUUUUCAAGUCAAUUUUGUUGCUACCGUCUAAGAAGAUUGUACUAUGUGUUCUCCGUAUCUAGUUUGUGAUCAUUCAGCACUUCAAGACUAGAGGAUAAGUUUUUUUCAACUAGGGGAGAAUAAUACAGAAUAGGAAGUUGAUACGCACCGAAUGCUGGCUGAAGGAAGAGGUAGAGCAAAAAGGGAAUGGAAGGUGUAUUCUAGAAGACUCAAGGAUCAAGAAAAUAGGUGGACAGUGGGUGCUCAACAGAAUUGGGCGAAUAUUUAGGAAAUACAGCUGGAGUGGUUAACAAAUUUGUAAAGGGAGGGAACUCUAUAUAUAGGUUAAUAGUAGAAUAAAGAGGUGUGGAAUUGUAAUACUGAAUUACCAGCUUUUGUAAGCUUGGUGGGCUGAGAGACUCUGCUGGAGGAAAACAUAUUCUUAUAUUGAGAUUGUUUCCUGAUUAAUCAAAAUUCCUUCUCUUCUUCUCCAUUCUAUUUCUUUUUUUCCUUUUGUGGAAAUUCUAAUUGGUGAAGAACAGGUCCUUACUCUAACAAAAGUUUAGCAUUUUAUGUAGGAAUUUUAAUUAUUAUAGAAU
rnacentral:misc_RNA from 1 species